UUUCCGUAGGUGAACCUGCGGAAGGAUCAUUCAUAAUAAGUGUUUUAUGGCACUUUUUUAAAUCCAUAUCCACCUUGUGUGCAAUGUCAGGGUUGAUUUUUCUCUCGAGAGGAUCAACCCCAAACAUCAACUAUAUCUCAACUCUUUGUCUGAAAAAUAUUAUGAAUAAAACAAUUCAAAAUUCAACUUUCAACAACGGAUCUCUUGGCUCUC
rnacentral:misc_RNA from 1 species